AGUUAAUUUUUUCACAAAUUCAAAAAAUCUUUUACCUCAAUAAUAGUGACAUCUUGUAUAAAAUUUUCGAAUUACACAAUUUAAAUUUCCACAGCGCGAAAAUUAUUCAUGGAAACUCUUCAUAAUUUAUCUCAUAUCAAAAGUGGAGGAAAGUAAAUAUCCAACUUCAUAUGUUCAUAUUUGUUUUGUAUAAGUCAAUGAAUUUGAAAAGUGCAUUUACUUUAUUGUUUAAUUACACACUAUGCACUAAUUAGGUUAUUUAUUUAAAUAGAAAAAAAUAAAAUAAUGCAAGCUAUUGGCUCUCCCACUAAAAUUCAAAAACAAAAUUUGGAAAAAAAAUAAAAAUAAAAAUAUACACGUAGGAAAUUAAAAAAAACUGUUUAUGUUAAAUGCUUAUUAAAAUUAGAGAUUGGGUGACAA